GUCUCAGGCCGUAUCAGCCUGAAGGCGCCCGAUCUCGUCUGAUCUCGGAAGCCAAGCAGGGUCGGGCCUGGUUAGGAUCUUGGAUGGGAGACCACCUGGGAAUCCCGGGUGCUCGAGGCU
rnacentral:rRNA from 1 species